rnacentral:rRNA from 1 species
AGAAUGAACGCUGGCGGCAUGCCUAACACAUGCAAGUCGAACGAAGCCUUCGGGUUUAGUGGCGCACGGGUGCGUAACGCGUGGGAAUCUACCCCUUGGUUCGGAAUAACAGUUGGAAACGACUGCUAAUACCGGAUGAUGACGUAAGUCCAAAGAUUUAUCGCCGAGGGAUGAGCCCGCGUAGGAUUAGGUAGUUGGUGUGGUAAAGGCGCACCAAGCCGACGAUCCUUAGCUGGUCUGAGAGGAUGAUCAGCCACACUGGGACUGAGACACGGCCCAGACUCCUACGGGAGGCAGCAGUGGGGAAUAUUGGACAAUGGGCGCAAGCCUGAUCCAGCCAUGCCGCGUGAGUGAUGAAGGCCCUAGGGUUGUAAAGCUCUUUCAACGGUGAAGAUAAUGACGGUAACCGUAGAAGAAGCCCCGGCUAACUUCGUGCCAGCAGCCGC